CUCACAAGUCUUUUUAAAGGCUAAAACUUAUAUUAGAUUAGGAUUCUCAAUCCUAAUCGAACCCAAACACAGCUAAAAUAAUCCAGAUCAAGGCUCCAAACCGUCGGAUCAAAACCGAGACGUCCCUGGGCCCUCCGAUCGCACUCCGAUCCAUGGAAUAGUGCCGUGGACCGUGAGAAACACGUAGGAAAUACCCACACGGUCCACAG
rnacentral:lncRNA from 1 species